rnacentral:rRNA from 1 species
CCUACGGGUGGCAGCAGUGAGGAAUAUUGGUCAAUGGGCGGAAGUCUGAACCAGCCAUGCCGCGUGCAGGAAGACGGCUCUAUGAGUUGUAAACCUCUUUUGUCGGAGAACAAAACCCGGGACGAGUCCCGGACUGCGUGUAUCCGAAGAAAAAGCAUCGGCUAACUCCGUGCCAGCAGCCGCGGUAAUACGGAGGAUGCGAGCGUUAUCCGGAUUUAUUGGGUUUAAAGGGUGCGUAGGCGGUCUUUUAAGUCAGCGGUAAAAGUGCGGGGCUCAACCCCGUCGAGCCGUUGAAACUGGCAGACUUGAGUUGGCGAGAGGUACGCGGAAUGAGCGGUGUAGCGGUGAAAUGCAUAGAUAUCGCGCAGAACUCCGAUUGCGAAGGCAGCGUACCGGCGCCAGACUGACGCUGAGGCACGAAAGCGUGGGGAGCAAACAGGAUUAGAUACCCCAGUAGUC